UAAUACAUGCAAGUCGAACGAACUGUGGAAAAGCUUGCUUUCAGAGUUAGUGGCGAACGGGUGAGUAACACGUAAGUAACCUAGCUAUUAGACGAGGAUAACUACUGGAAACGGUAGCUAAGACUGGAUAUGAUAGAAAAUAUUUAAAGGAUGCUAAGGCAUCGCUAAUAGAGGGGGCUUGCGGCGCAUUAGCUAGUUGGUAGGGUAAAAGCCAACCAAGGCGAUGAUGCGUAGCCGACCUGAGAGGGUGACCGGCCACACUGGGACUGAGACACGGCCCAGACUCCUACGGGAGGCAGCAGUAGGGAAUCUUCGGCAAUGGACGAAAGUCUGACCGAGCAACGCCGCCGUGAGUGAAGAAAGUUUUCGGAUUGUAAAGCUCUGUUAUUAGGGAAGAAAGGCUCUAGGAGGAAAUGCUUAGGGAUUGACGGUACCUAAUGAGGAAGCCACGGCUAACUACGUGCCAGCCGCCGC
rnacentral:rRNA from 1 species